rnacentral:rRNA from 1 species
CCUACGGGUGGCAGCAGUGAGGAAUAUUGGUCAAUGGGCGCGAGCCUGAACCAGCCAAGUCGCGUGAGGGAAGACGGUCCUAUGGAUUGUAAACCUCUUUUGUCGGGGAGCAAAAGACGCCACGCGUGGCGUUCCGAGAGUACCCGAAGAAAAAGCAUCGGCUAACUCCGUGCCAGCAGCCGCGGUAAUACGGAGGAUGCGAGCGUUAUCCGGAUUUAUUGGGUUUAAAGGGUGCGUAGGCGGGCUGUUAAGUCAGCGGUCAAAUGUCGGGGCUCAACCCCGGCCUGCCGUUGAAACUGGCGGCCUCGAGUGGGCGAGAAGUAUGCGGAAUGCGUGGUGUAGCGGUGAAAUGCAUAGAUAUCACGCAGAACUCCGAUUGCGAAGGCAGCAUACCGGCGCCCUACUGACGCUGAGGCACGAAAGCGUGGGUAUCGAACAGGAUUAGAUACCCGAGUAGUC